rnacentral:rRNA from 1 species
GAGCAGCACGCCGCGUGGAGGAUGACACUUUUCGGAGCGUAAACUCCUUUUGUUAGGGAAGAAUAAUGACGGUACCUAACGAAUAAGCACCGGCUAACUCCGUGCCAGCAGCCGCGGUAAUACGGAGGGUGCAAGCGUUACUCGGAAUCACUGGGCGUAAAGGACGCGUAGGCGGAUUAUCAAGUCUCUUGUGAAAUCCUAUGGCUUAACCAUAGAACUGCUUGGGAAACUGGUAAUCUAGAGUGAGGGAGAGGCAGAUGGAAUUGGUGGUGUAGGGGUAAAAUCCGUAGAGAUCACCAGGAAUACCCAUUGCGAAGGCGAUCUGCUGGAACUCAACUGACGCUAAUGCGUGAAAGCGUGGGGAGCAAACA